GUCGAACGAACUUCCGUUAAUUGAUUAUGACGUACUUGUACUGAUUGAGAUUUUAACACGAAGUGAGUGGCGAACGGGUGAGUAACACGUGGGUAACCUGCCCAGAAGUAGGGGAUAACACCUGGAAACAGAUGCUAAUACCGUAUAACAGAGAAAACCGCAUGGUUUUCUUUUAAAAGAUGGCUCUGCUAUCACUUCUGGAUGGACCCGCGGCGUAUUAGCUAGUUGGUGAGGUAAAGGCUCACCAAGGCAGUGAUACGUAGCCGACCUGAGAGGGUAAUCGGCCACAUUGGGACUGAGACACGGCCCAGACUCCUACGGGAGGCAGCAGUAGGGAAUCUUCCACAAUGGACGCAAGUCUGAUGGAGCAACGCCGCGUGAGUGAAGAAGGGUUUCGGCUCGUAAAGCUCUGUUGUUAAAGAAGAACGUGGGUAAGAGUAACUGUUUACCCAGUGACGGUAUUUAACCAGAAAGCCACGGCUAACUACGUGCCAGCAGCCGCGGUAAUACGUAGGUGGCAAGCGUUAUCCGGAUUUAUUGGGCGUAAAGCGAGCGCAGGCGGUCUUUUAAGUCUAAUGUGAAAGCCUUCGGCUCAACCGAAGAAGUGCAUUGGAAACUGGGAGACUUGAGUGCAGAAGAGGACAGUGGAACUCCAUGUGUAGCGGUGAAAUGCGUAGAUAUAUGGAAGAACACCAGUGGCGAAGGCGGCUGUCUGGUCUGCAACUGACGCUGAGGCUCGAAAGCAUGGGUAGCGAACAGGAUUAGAUACCCUGGUAGUCCAUGCCGUAAACGAUGAUUACUAAGUGUUGGAGGGUUUCCGCCCUUCAGUGCUGCAGCUAACGCAUUAAGUAAUCCGCCUGGGGAGUACGACCGCAAGGUUGAAACUCAAAAGAAUUGACGGGGGCCCGCACAAGCGGUGGAGCAUGUGGUUUAAUUCGAAGCUACGCGAAGAACCUUACCAGGUCUUGACAUCUUCUGACAGUCUAAGAGAUUAGAGGUUCCCUUCGGGGACAGAAUGACAGGUGGUGCAUGGUUGUCGUCAGCUCGUGUCGUGAGAUGUUGGGUUAAGUCCCGCAACGAGCGCAACCCUUAUUACUAGUUGCCAGCAUUAAGUUGGGCACUCUAGUGAGACUGCCGGUGACAAACCGGAGGAAGGUGGGGACGACGUCAAAUCAUCAUGCCCCUUAUGACCUGGGCUACACACGUGCUACAAUGGAUGGUACAACGAGUCGCGAGACCGCGAGGUUAAGCUAAUCUCUUAAAACCAUUCUCAGUUCGGACUGUAGGCUGCAACUCGCCUACACGAAGUCGGAAUCGCUAGUAAUCGCGGAUCAGCAUGCCGCGGUGAAUACGUUCCCGGGCCUUGUACACACCGCCCGUCACACCAUGAGAGUUUGUAACACCCAAAGCCGGU
rnacentral:rRNA from 1 species